UAGGGAAUCUUCCGCAAUGGGCGCAAGCCUGACGGAGCAACGCCGCGUGAGUGAUGAAGGUCUUCGGAUCGUAAAACUCUGUUAUUAGGGAAGAACAAACGUGUAAGUAACUGUGCACGUCUUGACGGUACCUAAUCAGAAAGCCACGGCUAACUACGUGCCAGCAGCCGCGGUAAUACGUAGGUGGCAAGCGUUAUCCGGAAUUAUUGGGCGUAAAGCGCGCGUAGGCGGUUUUUUAAGUCUGAUGUGAAAGCCCACGGCUCAACCGUGGAGGGUCAUUGGAAACUGGAAAACUUGAGUGCAGAAGAGGAAAGUGGAAUUCCAUGUGUAGCGGUGAAAUGCGCAGAGAUAUGGAGGAACACCAGUGGCGAAGGCGACUUUCUGGUCUGUAACUGACGCUGAUGUGCGAAAGCGUGGGGACCAAACA
rnacentral:rRNA from 1 species